rnacentral:misc_RNA from 1 species
UGAAGAACGACAGCAAAUAACAGAGGCACAUUUGAUUGCAAGGUCUAAAAACAUAUCUUUCACUUCAUCAUCUAGGGCAUAUGUAAGAGAUUUCCCAUCAAUGAUCAAAGCAAAUGCCUCUGUGCUUGAAGCAGUAAGUAGAGCCUUUCCUUCAGUAAUUUGCUGUGUAACACUUCCCUUUGAAGCCCUGGCAAUGGCAUUCUUUUCUCCGGAUUUCUCUACA